CCAAUGAUCCGUUUAGGUUAUGCCGCAGGUUCAUAACAUUAUCCCCCCCUCUUUAAUGUAGUCAUCCUGACAUAUAAAUAUCAGGCUUGUCUCCCUAGCAUAUCCUUCUUCUUGGAUUUGAAAUGCCUCACUCUUGCAACCGUUGUUCUCUUUCUGGGAAGAAAUGUGUCAUUUCAUCAGAAACUGCCUGUUGUUGUAGUGAAUGUGUUCACUCAGGUCAUUCUUGUUCAUUCAUGACUUCAGAUCUGGAUUGAAACAAGUUGGUAGUUGCUGUUGAUUGUGUUGAACAUGAAGAAGCCAAGACCCGUGCGCGUGUUUCCAAAUUGUUCACUCAGUUAAAUUGUUUAGAGAAACAAAAGAAAUUAUUGCAUUCCUGUGCUGGUAAAUUCCUUCAGUCUGAUAUGAUGACUGUGGAGGAGUUGGAAAAAGAAGAGCAGAAAGAGAAAGAAAAACAUGAGAAGGCUUUGAAUGAUCAACUCCUCUUGUCCUGAGAAAUGGAUGAUCUGUUCAAUGUUUCCUUCAGUUCUCUUGACCCCAAGGCUAUUGCUCUACUGGAUCCAUCAUUGUCCCAUUCUCUUGAUGAUACUUCCUUACCAGCUGCCACAUAUUCAUGAGGUUUUCUUUAGAUUCCCAUAUAUUCUCUGAGAUAUUGUAUCCUUUCCACUUAACUAGGUAAUGCUCUUGAUUAUUAACUCUUCAUUUUCCUAGUAUCACUUCAACCUCAUAUUCUGGUUCUUCGGUGUCAAUUUCUGUUUUUUGCUGUUCCGCAUUUUCAGGCGCUUUUUCCAGUAAUGAAACAUGGAAAUUUGGGUGUAUAGGCAUGGUGUCCAGUAGUCAGAGUUUGUAAUUAACUGGUCUGAUUUUCUGUAGAAUUUCAAAGGGUCC
rnacentral:sRNA from 1 species